GAAAUGACGAGGCGCGCGGGUGUUAGAGUGCGCUUCAACAAUCACCUUCCGCAGUGCCAGGGGAAGCCGGUGCGAAUCCGGCGCUGACCCGCAACCGUGAGACCGCCCCUCGGGGCGACGAGCCGGAGCACCUGCCUGUCGGAACCGGCCACA
rnacentral:ncRNA from 1 species